AGUGAACGCUGGCGGUAGGCCUAACACAUGCAAGUCGAACGGCAGCACAGUAAGAGCUUGCUCUUACGGGUGGCGAGUGGCGGACGGGUGAGGAAUACAUCGGAAUCUACUUUUUCGUGGAGGAUAACGUAGGGAAACUUACGCUAAUACCGCAUACGACCUACGGGUGAAAGCAGGGGAUCUUCGGACCUUGCGCGAUUGAAUGAGCCGAUGUCGGAUUAGCUAGUUGGCGGGGUAAAGGCCCACCAAGGCGACGAUCCGUAGCUGGUCUGAGAGGAUGAUCAGCCACACUGGAACUGAGACACGGUCCAGACUCCUACGGGAGGCAGCAGUGGGGAAUAUUGGACAAUGGGCGCAAGCCUGAUCCAGCCAUACCGCGUGGGUGAAGAAGGCCUUCGGGUUGUAAAGCCCUUUUGUUGGGAAAGAAAAGCAGCAGGUUAAUACCCCGCUGUUCUGACGGUACCCAAAGAAUAAGCACCGGCUAACUUCGU
rnacentral:rRNA from 1 species